rnacentral:rRNA from 1 species
AUUGAACGCUGGCGGCAUGCUUUACACAUGCAAGUCGAACGGCAGCACGGGGGCAACCCUGGUGGCGAGUGGCGAACGGGUGAGUAAUGCAUCGGAACGUGCCCUGUCGUGGGGGAUAACACAUCGAAAGAUGUGCUAAUACCGCAUACGACCUGAGGGUGAAAGCGGGGGACCGUAAGGCCUCGCGCGAUAGGAGCGGCCGAUGUCUGAUUAGCUAGUUGGUGGGGUAAAGGCCUACCAAGGCGACGAUCAGUAGCUGGUCUGAGAGGACGACCAGCCACACGGGGACUGGGGCACGGCCCAGACUCCUACGGGAGGCAGCAGUGGGGAAUUUUGGACAAUGGGGCAACCCUGAUCCGGCCACGCCGCGUGCGGGAAGAAGGCCUUCGGGUUGUAAAGCGCUUUUGUCUGGGAGCAAAUCCUGGCCUCUAAUACAGGUCGGGGAUGAGAGUACCAGAAGAAUAAGGACCGGCUAACUACGUGCCAGCAGCCGCCGUAACAC